rnacentral:lncRNA from 1 species
CGGCGGGCGGGGCGUGGCGCCUUUCCCGUGGUGCCGCGGGAGCGGCGGCCGCAGCGGCCGCGAUUUCGUCCGGGUCCCGCAAGCUCACUGGAAGGUCCGGAAGUGCCGCCCCCGGGAGCCGUCGGCGCCAGGUGAGAAGUGACUCCUGUGGAACAUGACUGGGCUUUAUUAUAACACCAGGACCUUUUGGGCUCCAGCCUGCAAACCUCUGCAGCAUUGGGACAUGGAGAGAAAGCACAAGAGAGCAAGGCUGAGGCUGUUCUCAGAGCCUGAUGUAAUUACUGAUGGGUUCUUCGUUAGCUGCCCAGCACUGCCCCAAUUGCCUCUGUGCUGCAAGGAACAGGAUGCACAGACAGCACUGCAGCUCUUCGUAAGUUUAGAGCAAACCUCAUCAGACCAGUGGGAAAACCUACAGCCCUGGCAAAACCUGUGUUCCCACUGGAUUGCCAUGACUCAGUGAACGCCAUUGUGUUGCAGAAAUUCUGAAAUGGAGCCAAGAAAUUCCAAGAUUACCUUCUUAAAAUAAAAAUACCCACUAAACUGCUUGUCCUUCA